rnacentral:rRNA from 1 species
ACGCUCGACACCUCGGGAGCAGCAGUUGGGAAUAUUGGACAAUGGAGGAAACUCUGAUCCAGUGACGCCGCGUGAAGGAAGAAGGUCUUCGGAUUGUAAACUUAUUUUGUCAGGGAAGAAAAAUGACUGUACCUGAAAGAAAAAGCACCGGCUAACUACGUGCCAGCGGCCGCGGUAAUCUGAGCGGGCUGGCAAGGC